AGCCUGAACGCUGGCGGCGUGGCUAAGACAUGCAAGUCGUACGGAUGUAGCAAUACAUCAGUGGCGAACGGGUGAGUAAUGAAUCGCUAAUGUACCCCGGACUCUGGGAUAGCUGCCCGAAAGGGCAGGUAAUACCAGAUGAUAUAUCCUUAUCGCAUGAUAGGGAUCUCAAAGGUCCGCCGGUCUGGGAGCAGGCGAUUUUGUAUCAGCUAGUUGGUGAGGUAACGGCUCACCAAGGCGAUGACGCAUAGCCGGACUGAGAGGUUGGCCGGCCACAUUGGGACUGAGACACUGCCCAGACUCCUACGGGAGGCAGCAGUAGGGAAUUUUCCACAAUGGCGAAAGCCUGAUGGAGCAACGCCGCGUGCAGGAUGAAUGUCUUCGGAUUGUAAACUGCUUUUAUAUGUGACGAUUAUGACGGUAGCAUAUGAAUAAGGAUCGGCUAACUCCGUGCCAGCAG
rnacentral:rRNA from 1 species